GUAUCAGAAUGGUAGUUUUUCUUUUCAAAAGCAAAUUAUUAAUUUUAAAAAUAAUUUUUAAAAAUUGAGAAUGUUGUAAAACUCAAAAGGUUCAAAAUUAUAUUUACUGAAAAGUAAGUCUUUCUCCUCCCCAUUUUUCCAGGAAGGUUUGGUGGAAAUGUUCAGAGAAGACAUAUUUCUAAAAAAAUAAAUAAUCUAAGG